ensembl:snRNA U6 U6 spliceosomal RNA
GGGCUUGCUUCGGCAGCACAUAUACUAAAAUUGGAACAAUACAGAGAUUAGUGUGGCCCCUGUGCAAGGAUGAGAUGCAGAUUUGUGAAGCAUUCCAUAUUUUU